UGAGGAUAAUUUUGAGGAACAGUUCACUGAUGCUGGUCUCAAUGAACUGGGGACAUUUAGAAAAGCUCAACAAAAAUAUUAAAAUAGGGAAAAAGCUAAAGGAAGAAACUGAUGAGAAUGAGACAGAGUCCUCUAUUAUCAUUGAUCAUAUUCAGGAGGUUCUAGAAUCCUUCACAUUAAUAGAAGUAUAAAAUUAUAGUGACACUGCUGUGGAAGAGUGUAACGGAUACUGGAGAUUGGGGUAAAGUGGAGGGACAAUCACUCAUUGACCAACUGGAGAAACACCUUAAAUUGAGGUUAUCAAUGCUGUUCAUUUGUCUAAUAGUACCAAGCACUGAUCAUUUCAGUCCGACACUGUAUCUCAUAUUUUGUGGUCUAUUGAUAGCUGCUUGUGGUUUUAUGACCCUGUACAAGAAAUUCAAGAAUGGCCUGAUUUUGUUGACUCACUGAAUAGUCUAAGCAGAAUAAAGGGAGAGAGAGAAGGGGAAGGAGCGUACAUGUAGUAAUUACUUUGUAUCAUCAGCUAUUUUAGG